UCUUGAAGGCGUAGGAAUAUUGGUUAUACUAACAGCCUUUGUUCUGGAUUUUAGUAAGUUCAGUGUUGGAGAAGCGAUAGGCUGUCAUGAUUCCUUAAUUGGUAUCAUAAUGGCAGAUGAGAAACUACUAAGGAUAUACUGUAGUUUAUGUAAUUGGUUAUUACAUGAACAUGCAGAUUCAUUUAGGAUGAAUUACUUUAACAUUCAAAGGAAGAGGAGAAAACAAUUCAGAGGGGUUGCUUGUGCGGUUGCUUGUCAGAUGCCUGUUCACUAGGCUGGUAUUUUUGGUUUGGCAUUUCGCGGCCGCGAAUGUCAGAUUAAAAUUACUUUGCCAAUCAAACGUGAAAUUUACAAUGCAUCACUAAAAAUUGAUCUGACAUAUUUUAAAAUUUCCAUUCCAUGUGUUUCCGAAAUCUAUUAUACAAUUUCCCUUUACAACAUAUAUUUGUAUCAACUGCCUGUUGAGCUUUAUGCAAAUUAUAAUACGUUAUACUCUUAUAAAGACAUUGUUUUGAUUCCAAAAUACUCACAAGACAUGGUAUGUGAAGGUAACAAACUAGUUAUUAUCGACGAACAUUGCCAGCGGAUAUGUAGUCGAGGACAUCACGUAGUAUUGGUUCGAAAGCAUGGCAGAAAUAUUUACUGUUAUGAUAACUUUCUUGUCGUUUGUAGUAUAAGUUGUAUUAAAACAAUACUCGAAAAUAAUUUUAUUCAAAUAGCUGUUUUUUGGUCUUCAAAAUAAUCAUGCAUUAUUAGCUAUGCCCCAUUAUUGGCUAUCGGUAAAACAGAUAAAAAUCUGCUUUACAUGCAUGCACGAUGGUUAAAAUUAAUGGUAGACAACGCAAAUCUUAAAUGAAACCAAAAGGUUGUUAUUCACCAUAGCAAAAACAGUUUGUUUGAACAACAAUCGGGAAAAAAUCCCAUUGUAUCAGCAGUAAAAAACAAUAUUAUCUCAUUGAAAAUGUCAAUGAUUUAGUAAAGUAAGGGAAAUUAUAAGAAUGUGAUAUAUUAAUAUGAUAUAACGGUUUACACUUUUUUGAAAGGAGUUUAGAAAAAUUGAUGAUCACAAAACUGGGUUUUACCGAACAAAACUAUCAUAAUCAUUACAAAAAUCAUUUUCAACAUGUCCAUUUAAAUUUAGGUUUGGAACAACCCAGUUUAAAUUGUUAAUAAAUAUAUAAAAAGCAUAGAAAGUAGAAUUUUGUCGUCAAAUAUGCAUCUAAAAGUGUGUUCAAUGCCAUUAUUCAUCAUCAUGAUUCAUUGAUUGAAUAAUUAAUAGGGGUUUAACUCUAGUUAAAGCACGUUUGUUGGCCAUUUUGUAUUUACGAAUAAGGCUUCGUGCUCGGAGAGAACCACCGACACUUGGUAGGAAAUUAUCCUAGCUCACAAUACAUAUUUAAGAGUGCAGAUUCGCAUUUUGAUCCUGUUGGAUUUUUUUCAAAUAUGAAAGUUAUUGUGCAAUGAUAUUCCUUUUUAGACAUAUACAUGUAAGUACUAAUCAAACAUGUACAUGUAAGUACUCAUCAAGGUUUCAAAGUCGGUUUAUAUGAACAUAAAGAUGUUUUUUACAUGUUUUAUAAUUAUAGUUAUAAUUGUAUUGGCGUUCUGUUUUCUGCUUUUUUUCACAGGCAGCUGUCGAGAGACCACAUGAGCGACCUCUUGAAAACCAUUGUUUAUGUGUCUGGUUAUGGUGAAAGAGUUUGCCUUGCUAACGGCAUUCUCUGUCGCAAAUAGCCAAACCAUUAAUACUGGUCCAGAGAAGAGGUCACUUCAAAUAUGUAAGAAUUGUUGCAGGCAAAUGAAUAUAAAAAGGCUGUACCAUAUAUCAAAAUAAAAAUUAUAACAAUUUGAAAAUUUAUUACAACUUUGGUUACAAAUGUGUAAAAUAAUAAACUUGUAAAAUUACUAUAAUGCGUUUAGUCACAAAACUCACCAGAACAAAAUCGAUCGAAAUACACCACAAUUUGUGGGAUAUUCUUAUCAAUAUCUAAAGUAGGUUCCUGUUAUAACAACUGUACCAGCCGUAGACUUACAUUCCGAAACCUGAUACAUUUUUUCAAUAAUAAAAUAUUAAACUUCCACUCAGGUACGGGUACAUACAAAAAAAGUGAUGGAGAAAUCGGCAUCUCAUUAUUUGGCAAGAAGUAUGAUGUAAUAUUUAAAUUUGUAGUAAAUUCUGUGUAUCUGGUGUUUAUUAGCAGCAUGCCAUCAAUUCUUUCAUAUUUGAAGUGUACGUUUGGUUUGACAUGUAUUUUUGACAGUUAUGUCGUUGAAUACAUGUGAUUUUAGUAUUGUUAUUAUUACCUAAUAGCAAUAUAUAAAAGAAAAGAAAACAAAAUAAAAAUAAAAAAGGUAUAAAAGGUCCCAGCGGUAAUUAUUGAUAUGUGUUAUAUGAAUACCAUAUCUGAUUCGUGUAACGUAUCUUGUUAGAGAUUCAAAAAAGUUAUAAAAUAAACAAAUUGUAUCUUGUUAACGAUACAAUAUGUGUUAUAUAAAAAAAUGUAUCUUGUUAAAGGUAUAAAAUUGUUAUAUGAAAACAAAUUGUAUCUUGUUAAGGGCAAACAUUGCAUUGUUAUAUGAAAUCAAAUUAUAUAUUGUGCAAGAUAAAUCAAAUUGUUUUAUACCAAAAAAAAAAAAGACAUGUAUCAUGUUAUAGAUAAAACAAAUUAUUGUGUAUUGGUCUAGAUAAAAGAUGUGCAAAAACUGUGGUAUACAAAAAAUUCAUGGUUAGGAUAAAAAAAAAUUCUAACAAAACAAAUUUCAUCUUGUUAAAGAAAAAAAUGUUAGUUCAAGAUAAAACAAAUUGUUAUAUAACAACAAAUUGUAUACUGCACACGAUGUGUUAUAAAACAAACAUGUAUCUUGUUAAAGAUGAAAACACAUUGUUAUUUAAAAAAACAAAUUGUGUAUUCUUAAAUAUAAAAGAUGUGUUAUACAUAAAAAAAAACAGGUAUCUUGUAAAAGAUAAAACAAAUUGUGUGUAGACAAACAAAAACUAACAGGUGUCUUGUUAAAGUUACAAAAAAAACUGUGUUAUACAAACCAGACAUGUAUCUUAUUAAAGUUAACACAGUAUGUAACAUAAUAACGAAUUGUAAAUUGUUCAAGAUAACAGCUGUGUUAUACAAGAACAAAACCAGGUAUCUUGUUAAAGAUAAAAAAAAACUUGUGUUAUACAAAAAAGACGUGUAUCUUGUUAAAGACAACACAGUAUGUUACAUAAAACACAUUGUAAAUUGUUCAAGAUAACAGAUGUGUUAUACAAGAAUAAAACCAGGUAUCUUGUUAAAAAUAAAAAAAACCUGUGUCAUACACAAAAGACAUGUAUCUUGUUAAAGACAACUAAAUAUGCUACAUAAAAAAACAAAUUGUAAAUUGUUUAAGAUAACAAAUGUGUUAUAGAAGAAUACAACCAGGUAUCUUGUUAAAGAUAAAAAAAAUCUGUGUUAUACAAAAAAGACAUGUAUCUUGAUAAAGACAACACAAUAUGUUACAUAAAAAAAAAACAAAUUGCGAAUUGUUUAAGAUAACAAAUGUGUUAUACAAGAAUAAAACCAGGUAUCUUGUUUAAGAUAAAAAAAAAACCUGUGUUAUAAAAAAAAGACUUGUAUCUUGUUAAAGACAACACAGUAUGUUAUAUAAAAACAAUUUUAAAUUGUUCAAGAUAACAGAUGUGUUAAACAAGAAUAAAACCAGGUAUCUUGUUAAAGAUAAAAAAAAACCUGUGUCAUACACAAAAGACAUGUAUCUUGUUAAAGACAACUAAAUAUGCUACAUAAAAAAACAAAUUGUAAAUUGUUUAAGAUAACAAAUGUGUUAUAGAAGAAUACAACCAGG